CAGCCGCCGCGGGAAAACGGAGGGGGCUAGCGUUGUUCGGAAUUACUGGGCGUAAAGCGCACGUAGGCGGCUUUGUAAGUUAGAGGUGAAAGCCCGGAGCUCAACUCCGGAAUUGCCUUUAAGACUGCAGAGCUAGCAGGUGAGAGAGGUGAGUGGAAUUCCGAGUGUAGAGGUGAAAUUCGUAGAUAUUCGGAAGAACACCAGUGGCGAAGGCGGCUCACUGGCUCAUACUGGACGCUGAGGUGCGAAAGCGUGGGGAGCAAACAGGAUUAGAUACCCCCGUAGUCCCUGUCUCUUAUAC
rnacentral:rRNA from 1 species